CCUACGGGGGGCACCAGUGGGGAACAUUGGACAAUGGGCGAAAGCCUGAUCCAGCAAUGCCGCGUGUGUGAAGAAGGUCUUCGGAUUGUAAAGCACUUUCGACGGGGACGAUGAUGACGGUACCCGUAGAAGAAGCCCCGGCUAACUUCGUGCCAGCAGCCGCGGUAAUACGAAGGGGGCUAGCGUUGCUCGGAAUGACCGGGCGUAAAGGGCGCGUAGGCGGUUUAUGCAGUCAGAUGUAAAAUCCCCGGGCUUAACCUGGGAACUGCAUUUGAGACGCAUAGACUAGAGGUCGGGAGAGGGUUGUGGAAUUCCCAGUGUAGAGGUGAAAUUCGUAGAUAUUGGGAUGAACACCGGUGGCGAAGGCGGCAACCUGGCUCGAUACUGACGCUGAGGCGCGAAAGCGUGGGGAGCAAACAGGAUUAGAUACCCUCGUAGUC
rnacentral:rRNA from 1 species